AGUGCUGCUGGAAGAAUCCUUGGUAAAGAUAGGACUUCACUCUCCCCUGAAACUCUUGAAGCCCUAAUUUGUACUAAAGAUUGGUUGAUUGGGUUCAAUGAUGAAGAGGAAGGCGAACAAAUGAGUGGAAAAAGGAUGUUCGGUUCAGAUGAUGAUGAAGAUGAUGAGUGAAGGUUACUUGGUCGUGUGAGGGCAUUUGAUCGGCAUUGCAACAUGGUUCUUGAGAAUGUUAGGGAGAUGUGGACUGAGAUACCAAAGACUGGUAAAGGCAAGAAGAAGGCUCUUCCGGUGAACAAAGACAGGUUCAUAAACAAGAUGUUCCUCCGUGGGGAUUCAGUCAUCAUUGUUCUCAGGGACCUGAAAUGAGUUGGACAACUUUGCUUUGUUCGCUGUCUAGUCUGUAUGCCAAACACUCCAAACAUGGGUGUAUAAGAGACGAUUCUUGGUGGACUGUUUUAGUUGGAUGCUGUGAUGCACCUCUUGUGUUCAGUGGUACUUUUUAUUUGGCUCGAUCAUCAGUAUAUCAAAUUUAGAACUCUACUGUUCCAUUUUU